rnacentral:rRNA from 1 species
GACGAACGCUGGCGGCGUGCUUAACACAUGCAAGUCGAGCGGAAAGGCCACUUCGGUGGUACUCGAGCGGCGAACGGGUGAGUAACACGUGAGUAAUCUGCCCCUGGCUUUGGGAUAGCCACCGGAAACGGUGAUUAAUACCGGAUAUGACCACGUCUCGCAUGGGGUGUGGUGGAAAGUUUUUCGGCCAGGGAUGUGCUCGCGGCCUAUCAGCUUGAUGGUGGGGUAAUUGCUCACCAUGGCUUCGACGGGUAGCCGGCCUGAGAGGGUGACCGGUCACACUGGGACUGGGACACGGCCCAUACUCCUGCGGGAGGCAGCAGUGGGGAAUAUUGGACAAUGGGCGGAAGCCUGAUCCAGCAACGCCGCGUGAGGGAUGACGGCCUUCGGGUUGUAAACCUCUUUCAGUACCGACAAAGCGCAAGUGACGGUAGGUACAGAAGAAGCACCGGCCAACUACGUGCCAGCCGCCGCGGUAACAC